rnacentral:lncRNA from 1 species
CUUUUGGCUAAGAUCAAGUGUAGUAUCUGUUCUUAUCAGUUUAAUAUCUGAUACGUGGGCCAAUGGCCCACACGAUAUUAAAUUAAUUUCUUUAGGGGGAGGUCCCGCUACGGUAGCUUGCUACUGGGGCUCUCGAGCGUCGCCCAAGUGUUGCACUACUGCAUGGGCCUGGCGCACCCCACCAAAUCUAGUUCAAAGUUGAUACAAGAUGAGACCUGUUGGGAGGCACUCUUGAGCUCUUUUCUGCAACGUUUGCAGUAAAUAGGCUUGAGCUUGAGCGAUCCCCAUUUCUCCCUCUUGUGACUAUCUCAAUAAGAACAAUUCCAAAGCUAAAAAUCCCCAAUUCAAACGGAAGAAAAAAAUCCGUUGAUAAAUGAAUUCCAAUUUGUUG